CGCACAGCAUGGGGGCGCCGAGGCUACCCCGGACCACCCACACUGGGGAGGGGAGGAGAGAGCGCCACACUGAGGCUGGACUCAGUCCGAUAGAUUUCUCCUGGGACUUCCCCAGGACUACAUUCUUUCUCCGCAGCGAAACUUGUUACCAACCUCCCCACACACUCUCAUUUCUUAAUAUUUUCGAACACACAGGGGCAUUCCUGUUUCCUGUCUGUGCGUUUCCAUGCGGUUGUCGCUGCCCUCCCCAUUGCACGGAGCAAAAAUACCGGUCUGAAGAAGAGAAUGAGACACAAGAAAGACCUUCUGAGGGGGUAGGAUCUAAUUUGGGAUAUCCUUCUUCAGAGAGCCCACUUGGUGCUAAAGGCAGAGCAGCCACUAUGGAAGAGGGGAGGAGCCGAGGUUCAAGCCCAUCCUGCUUCUUGAGUCCCAGCCUACUGGGUCACCGUGAGCAAGUCACAAGCAUCCUGGCCAGCUGCGCUCUGCAUGACCGAAUCCGACACCUCUCACUUCCUCCACAAGCGGAACUUGGUGUUUGGAUGACGCGCGAGGCAGGUCGUUUGUGCAAAACAGCAAACCCCACCUUCGGUUUUCAACCCCAACCCAAGACCUAAAAAAAGAAAAGAAACAAAAGAAGAGCUGGGCUUCUGGCACCGACCUCUCCAGAGCGCCCGUGGAGGGAGGACUCCUUCGACCCACGCCCCUGUCUAUGUGACGUGGAACAUUCUCCUUAGCACCUCCGAGGUUCUGGUUCUUCAGCCUUCAAGGGGGCAAUGCCAUGCGUAUUUCUGUGACAAAAACUGGAGCAAUACCCAGCAGAUACUGGUGAACUCUCCUGUUCCCGAGUGCCAGGAUGAUGUAGCCACUGGCUCUGCUGUGGGUCAGGAAUAUCCCUGCUGGCAUCUUCUCUCACCACGGGACAGAUUGGCCAAUGGUUUGUGCUCUCUCCCACUCCGGGGACGACUAAGUCUUCCACAUGGGAGGAAGGUCUGGUAUCCACAAGAGCCCUGGGCUCCCAGCUCUCUUGCUUCUCAAAACACACUGGAGCCAGGUGUGGUGGCGCACGCCUUUAAUCCCAGCACUCGG
rnacentral:lncRNA from 1 species